AAUGUCUAUCAUUGGCCAUGGUCCUGCUGCCACCUGUGCACUUCCGCAACUGCUUUUGAUGUGCACAAGCGCUGCACAUAUCCACUCUGUCUCUUCAAGCUCAACUCGUAGUCUCUGUGUCCUCCUGCUGCGAGUUACAAUGGAAGUUGGCACUGUUGAGAACCGUGGUCAUUUAAAGUUCGCAAAUUUCAUGAGACGUGUAGUCGAUAAAUGCUUGAGUCUCUCUCAUCAAUGGAACUGAAAUUCGGAUAACGCGUGGUAUCCAAAUUCUGUAUUUCUGAGGGCCUUUUGAUAAUUUAUUUAGUUUUGUUUUCUGCUUUUUCUUUUGUUUUGGCCUUUUGAAGGAUCCAUUGAUUAUGCAGGAUAUCAGGAACUCGAGAAUAAGAUACAGCAUGUCUUGCAACUUGUGACAAACUAGUUGAUUAGAAAAGGCACUAAUACCGGUGGAUGUGAUGGCAUUAAUUUCUGAGUUAAUAACUAACACAAUGAUCUUGGUGACUUGGCCUUUCUCAGUUUUGAAGCUCUUAUGCUUGUUUGGCAUAAAGACUGCUUUUAUUGUCAUUCAUGCAUGGAUGGAGUUGGUGAGGGCAGCAGUCUGCUUCCAAGUGAACAUUUUCUUGAGAAUCAUGAUAUGGACAUUGGCACUUAUAUCUCUGCCGGGGCGAGUUUUGACUACCUUACAGAGGGAGAGGCAGGUUGACUUUAUCUGCUUUCAGUGAAUUUUACUCUCCUAUUAAGGAAACACAUAUAUUGAGCAUGUCAUUUACAAAGGAAAGUAGACUGGCAUGUUGACGUGUAAUUAUAUGUAGUAACAUCCCAUUCUCCCCCAUUGUGUUUUUGUUUUGGUUUAGUUUAUGAACGGUUUACUAUAUAUUUUUGUUUGUUUAUUUGUAUGUUGUUUUGUUGCUCGUGUGUUUGGUAAGGUCCUGCUAUUUGAAUUAAGGAUGUCAAGGAUGAUGGGUGGUUAUGAUUUGUGUUCUAGCUGGAGACUAGGAUAAUAGCUUUUGUUUGUUUACUACGUCUGAUCUAGCUUUUGAUGAUGUUUAUUUCCAGCUGUUGGGCUGUUAGUUCUUUUUCAUCUGUUUACGCUUCAUCUGCUGGAUGGUUGUUUUCCUCAUUGUAUUAUAGCUCCUAAAUUUCAUAUUCUCUGAGAAUGUCUUGGCUAGAAAAAUGUUGUUAUGUAAACAGCUGGAAAAACAUUUACUCGAUAUGCAAAUUGAGGUGGAGAAUCUAGCAUUGGAUAGAAAAGAGCUUCAGGAGCAUCUACAUACAGCCAUUAACGAACGAAGAAUGAUGGAGUUGAUAUUAGCAGAACUUGAAGGGGAACAUGACAAGGCCAUUGCCAAAGUUGAACUACUAGUGAGCGAGUUACACGAUCUGAGAACUGAAAAUCUGCGGCUAAAAGAAAUUCAGGGGUAGGAUACUGGAACAACAAAGGUCGAGAUCAAACAGGCAAUGCCCAGAGUACAGCCAUUGGGAUCCCAUCACUGAAAUCCUGUUAUGAUGGAAGUGGAUUCAUCCUUCAAGACCUUCCGAUGCACAAAGAUACUCGGGGGAUGAAUGCAAAACUAAAAUGGAGUUGCUCAAAAUCUUGAGAAAUGAACCAAUAUCCACUGGACCUAUACAUCCUGUUAUGCCUGAAAUCAGCCUCAGAAGUUUAGAUAUGAGUGAAGUUAUCGACCAUCGAAGGGGUAUUGCAGUCAAACAGACUCUUUUCAGUGCAGCGUUAUCACAUGUGGUUGGAAUGAUUGUUUGGCAAGCUGAAGACCCUUGCAUGCCCCCUUAUCGUGGCUCUCUUCUCUGUGGUUGGUAUGUCAUUGAAGAGUGUGGUUCAGUUUUUCUCUACCAUAAAGAAUAAACCUGCUUCCGAUGCGGUUGCUCUCUUAAGCUUCAACUGGUUCAUACUGGGAACACUUACGUACCCGACAUUACCGAAGGUAGUGCAUACGGUGGUUCCUGUGGCAUUAAAUUUUGUCGACCGAGCGUUGAGCUGGCUUGGUUUCUCAUUUUUCCUAGCUUAAGUCUGUCUCUUCAUUUUCAUAUACGGACGUGUACUAUAUAUAGACCCUGGAAUACGAAACGGUUCUUUGUAUAUACAUCGUUUAGAGAGCUUGUAUGGUAAAGGUGCCCUACACUAUUUGAUUUUA